UACGGGGGGUGCGAGCGUUGUCCGGAUUCACUGGGCGUAAAGGGCGCGUAGGCGGCCGGGUCAGUCGGGCCUGUAAGUGCGGGGCUCAACCCCGUGAUGGGCUCGGGACGGCACGGCUGGGGCGCGGCAGAGGGAGACGGAAUGCCGGGUGUAGUGGUGAAAUGCGUAGAGAUCCGGCGGAACACCGGUGGUGAAGACGGUCUCCUGGGCCGAGGGCCGACGCUGAGGCGCGAGAGCGUGGGGAGCGAACAGG
rnacentral:rRNA from 1 species